AAGUCGUAACAAGGUUUCCGUAGGUGAACCUGCGGAAGGAUCAUUAUCGAAAAGCAAUCCGGGGGGGAGGCGACCGAGCGAAGUUUGGUAGAUCGUAGGGAUUGUCGCUGGCCUUUGGAAACGAAGGCAUGUGCACGUUCCGAGUUCUCCUUAGUCCUCCUUUGCCUUUCCUUUGGAAAACCCUUUCUUCACACCCGUGCACCCAUUGUAGGUCUCCGCGAGGGGAUCUAUGUCUUCACAUAAACACUACGUAUGUCUAGGAAUGUAUCUAAAAGCGUCGGACGGCUUGGCUUCGUGCCC
rnacentral:misc_RNA from 1 species